CCUACGGGAGGCAGCAGUGGGGAAUAUUGCACAAUGGGCGAAAGCCUGAUGCAGCAACGCCGCGUGAGCGAUGAAGGCCUUCGGGUCGUAAAGCUCUGUCCUCAAGGAAGAAAUGACGGUACUUGAGGAGGCAGCCCCGGCUACCUACGUGCCAGCAGCCGCGGUCAUACGUAGGGGGCUAGCGUUAUCCGGAAUUACUGGGCGUAAAGGGGGCGUAGGUGGUUUCUUAAGUCAGUGGUGAAAGGGUACGGCUCAACCGUAGUAAGCCUUUGAAACUGGGGAACUUGAUUGCAGGAGAGGGGAGUGGAAUUCGUGGGGUAGCGGUGAAAUGCGUAGAUAUUAGGAGGAACACCAGUUGCGAAGGCGGCUCUCUGGACUGUAACUGACACUGAGGCACGAAAGCGUGGGGAGCAAACAGGAUUAGAUACCCGAGUAGUC
rnacentral:rRNA from 1 species